AGCAAAACACCCUUUUCAAAUAGCAAAACACCCUUUUCAAAUAGCAAAACACCCUUUUCAAAUAGCAAAACACCCUUUUCAAAUAGCAAAACAUCCUUUUCAAAUAGCAAAACACCCUUUUCAAAUAGCAAAACUCCCUUUUCAAAUAGCAAAACACUCUUUUCAAAUAGCAAAACACCCUUUUCAAAUAGCAAAACACCCUUUUCAAAUAGCAAAACACCCUUUUCAAAUAGCAAAACACCCUUUUCAAAUAGCAAAACACCCUUUUCAAAUAGCAAAACACCCUUUUCAAAUAGCAAAACUCCCUUUUCAAAUAGCAAAACACCCU